GAUGAACGCUGGCGGCGUGCUUAACACAUGCAAGUCGAACGGUGAAGGCGGAGCUUGCUCUGCUGGAUCAGUGGCGAACGGGUGAGUAACACGUGAGCAAUCUGCCCCUGACUCUGGGAUAAGCGCUGGAAACGGCGUCUAAUACUGGAUACGAGCUGCGCAGGCAUCUUCAGCAGCUGGAAAUAACUUCGGUCAGGGAUGAGCUCGCGGCCUAUCAGCUUGUUGGUGAGGUAACGGCUCACCAAGGCGUCGACGGGUAGCCGGCCUGAGAGGGUGACCGGCCACACUGGGACUGAGACACGGCCCAGACUCCUACGGGAGGCAGCAGUGGGGAAUAUUGCACAAUGGGCGAAAGCCUGAUGCAGCAACGCCGCGUGAGGGACGACGGCCUUCGGGUUGUAAACCUCUUUUAGCAGGGAAGAAGCGAAAGUGACGGUACCUGCAGAAAAAGCGCCGGCUAACUACGUG
rnacentral:rRNA from 1 species